GCUGGUUAGCUACGCUUGGGAAGGAUAACCGCUGAAAGCAUCUAAGCGGGAAGCCUGCUUCAAGACAAGGUUUCCAUCCCCCUCUUGGGGGGGGGAGAGACUCCCAAUAGAUGAUUGGGUUGAUAGGCCAGGCGUGUAAGCAUGGUAACGUGUUUAGCUUACUGGUACUAAUAGUCAACAACUAAAAACAACCAA
rnacentral:rRNA from 1 species